GAUGAACGCUAGCUACAGGCUUAACACAUGCAAGUCGAGGGACCGGCGCACGGGUGAGUAACACGUAUCCAACCUGCCCUUUACUCGGGGAUAGCCUUUCGCAAGACAGAUUAAUACCCGAUAUAAAGGAUGGUGAUGCGUUCCAUUAGGUUGUUGGUGAGGUAAUGGCUCACCAAGCCUUCGAUGGAUAGGGGUUCUGAGAGGAAGGUCACCCACAUAGGAAGAGAGACACGGGCCAAACUCCUACAGGAGGCAGCAGGGAGGGAGAGUGGUGAAUGGGCGCUAGCCUGAACCAGCCAAGUAACGUGAAGGAUGAAGGAGUAUGGGUCGUAAACUUCUUUGAUAGAAGAAUAUGUAUUAUAUGAAUAAGGAACGGAUAACGCCGUGCCAGCAGCCGCGGUAAUUC
rnacentral:rRNA from 1 species